rnacentral:lncRNA from 10 species
CCCGAGCACGCCGGAGGCCUGGCCUGUGGAUGAGAUUGUUCCUUAUUUCCCCAGCUUCAGCACCACAGAAGAGACCAGAGUCUACCUUGCCAGCUCCUCUAGCACCGACCACGUGCCAAUUCAUGUCCUGAAUGCUCACUUCACUUCUUCACCUUGCUUCACUUCACUUACUGCACGGGAACAGAAAAGCCUAGAGAGGAUGGAUUACCUGUGCGGUUGCCUCCCUCUGCAGAGUGGGCGUGUCUCAGGAGCUUCUCUUCUUCUCCAGCCCAGUGCGGCCUCGUGUCAUCCAUAGGACCCACCGGCAGAGGGCAGGGCCUGCGAGUGGGGCCAGCCUCCUGGUGACUCUCGCCUCCUCUUUUCCAGCGGACGCUACCAGAGGACGAAGGUCUGACUCUGGCCAACGGCCCAGAAUUUCUGGCCCAGUUUUGCCUGAGGAAGCCAACUGUGCAGGAGGUCAGGAUCCCGGUAGGGUGAGAGUGGGAAAGUUAACAUUCCCAAGAGACUCCAAGCAACAGGAUUUCCUGACCUGGGACUAUUACCUUUCUCACAUUACAUGGCCAGAUUUACUUCCUGCUAUUAUUAAAAGUACGAAAAAGAUGAAGAUAUGUGUUUAAUGGAAACAAGGGCAAGAGUUUGCCUGACUGGACUUUGAGGAGGCUGUAGGAUCAUGGCGCUAACGGCAUUUGGAGGGCUGGGAAGGGACUCUAGCCCUGGCUUUACCUGCCUUUGUCAUCAGCUGGAGCAAGCAACUCCGCAACCUCGGAGCCUCAGUUUCCUUUUCUGUAAAAGGCGGGGAGGGUGGGUGGUAAGUGCAAUGCUGAAUCAGAACUCAUAGAGCUGCUGGGUGGACAUGUGAAGUAAAAGAGGAGACAGCUUUUGCUCCUGAAGGAUGCCAUUUGCGUUUUCCUCAUCAGUUUGAUCUCCUCCAAUCAUCCAGCACCUCCAUCUGACCUUCUCAGCUGAGAGGUCCUCAGUGUUUCUGUGGCCUCCAGGAGAAAGGUCCCCCUCCCCGGCUGAGGCCAGGCUGAUGGCAGGCUGCACGGCCAGCCUUCCACAGUCACCUGAAGGAUACAGAAAAGGAAGAGCUGGAGGCUUCUAGCAAGCUGCCGAACUGUGUCCUCCAGCUGCGCCCAGCCCCCUGGAGGUAGCGCCGGAGCACGUGGUGGUGGCUAUGUAGGAAGGCCCCUUUCGAGCCGCCCUAUACUGUCUUUGGGAUCUGCUUUUUACUGCCACAGCCUAUGUGCUCCUGAUUCUUCUCUCAAUCCCUGGAUGGAAACCGGCCUCUGAUACUUGGCUCUGCUUCCUUGGAGGAGCUACUUAACCAUUCAGUCCUCUCUGCAGUUAGCUAUUAAGGUUGUCCUGCGAACUGAAGCAGAGAGUCCCCGCAAAGGGUGCAGAGUAGGGCACCCACAGAGGAGCCUCUAAAGCACUUUCCAUGAGGUGGAUGGCUUCUCCUCCCCAAGGGACCCAGGAAGGAAAGGAGAGCUGCUUCUGCCUCCCCAGCAGAGAGGGACCUUCCCAGAGAAGAUGUCUUGCGCCUCACCUGAUCUUGUUCUGAGAGUAGGAGACUGGAAGAGAAGCGUUCAACUCCCCAAACACAGCUGGGUUUGUUUCGUUUAAUCUCCCAGCCUGUUUUUCUGCUGUCCUCCUGAAGAAUGUUUAAUCUCACAGUUAAAACCACCAAAAGCGACUUUUUUCCCCCUCAACUGCUCAGUAACACAUGACCGUGCAAAUUCGUUUGGCCCCAGCGCCACAAGUCAUAAAAGGCAUCUAGUGGGCGGCAUGAGUCAAUCAGGCCUUUGGACGGUGACGUAACCACAGCUUGUCAGUUUCCCCAUCCAGGCAGCCCCAAUCCCCCAGUGCAGACAUCUGGAGCCAGGGAUUGACAAGUGGAUUCCAGGAUUGGGCCCUGCCUCCCGCCCUGUUCAGUUCCAGCCCAGCCACGGCCGCCGCCAACGAGGACACGCACUGUCUUUCUGCACAUUCCCACGUACACACACCCCCGCAGCCCCCUCUCCACUCAUUCCUGCAUUUCCGGCAAUGUGAAUUCUGACAGCUCGGGCAGUGUCAGCCUCUCCGGUGCAUUCCUCACCACACCACCUCACUGCUCCCGAGCCUGCUGACAGCACUCCCCGCCAUACCUACCAAGCCGAAGGUGCAAGGAACCUCUUGAUCCCCACUGUGUCUUUGUCCCAGGGCCACAGCAAAAUAGCACCCCCCUCCCCCACACACCCUCUAGCCUAAUUUAUUAGACUUUUAAACACAUUUAUUUACUGUGAUAUCUACACCACACCAAACAUCUGGAGGGAAACCGGGAGACAAUCCACCAGGAAUUUAAAUGUUUGUUCUGCAAUGUAACUUUGAAAACCGAACCAGGAAAACUUGACAUCUUUAGCCAAUUGCUUGGUGGUCCAGUGGGGAAACAGUGCGGGGAGCCUCAGGCAGAGCUGAUUCAGGCCUGGGGAGGCACGGGAGCCACAUGUUCAGGGUCCACAGGCCCAGCGGAGUGAUACGGAAGUUUCCAAGAUGGUAAGCCUCUCUCCUGGCCCAUGCUCACCAACGGGACCCCAUUCCUAACCAGGCUUUCCCUCUCUCUCUUUUAAGUGUUCCAGGAAUGUUCCUACCCCUGCGUCUUUGCUGAAGCCCCUCUUGCCUGGGAUGCCCUCUGUCCUCUCUUUCUGCCCACACACAUCCUGCCAGUCCUUCAGACAGGGCCAGCCUCACGGGCAUAGGACCUGAGCAGUUUCACAGGGCCCUAUGCACAGAAGGAUCCCAAGCUCGGUUGAUUGCUCCGAUCUUGCCAUCUUGAAACUCUUUGAUAAUUUUAUCUUUUAUCUUGUGUUUUGGGAGUGAAAUCCAAUGGGAUAUUGGGGCCUGCAAAGGAGAAGAGGAGAUCCGCACAAACCCGUUCCUGGCUGCUGCAUUCACCUCCAGCGUUUGUGAUGCCCCAGAGCACAGAACUCCAGGGAGCCCACGAUGCAGGAGAGUUCAGCGACAUUCACUGAGUACAAGAGAAGUGAGUUACUCCUGCAGCUGAGCACGGGGGGCGCUGGCAACUGCGAAAGGUCUCGCUUUCCAUUCCAACCAGAACUUGCUCCUAGCGCAGACAGAAGGCCGUGGCAUUCUGAGAAACACACAUGAUGAAGGAGCCCUGUCAUAUCCUCUCUUCCUUGCAUCGCUUCCCCGUGUGAGCAACCACUUGUGCUGGAAAUGAUGACAAGGAAGGACCGGGAAAGACAGGGCCACCCGCAGUUCCUUUUCCUUGACGUCUUUCCUUCCUCAUCAGCGAGCUGAGGUGGAGAGCGUUGGUAGAAUGUGUGCAUAAUAAGAAGUGAAAUAAAAACAGUCGAGUUAGUAUUCUACUGUUUCCACUGUUCUGGUGAGAACAAAACACAUAUGCUGUAUAUGCUUUGAAAUACAAAGUGUGUAAUUUUAGUGAUUCUGCAUAGGAGUUAAAUGUUUUUAUAUUUGCAUUUAAAACUGCCAUUGUAUACUAUAAAGAUAAGGAGCCACGGCCUUGCCCCUGAACACGUAGAACAGUCAUGGCCGUACCAACCGUGAGCCAUUCUUGCCUCUCUCUCUUUUGUCUUAUUCUCUUGUCAUCUGUCCACCUCGCAGGACUGUUGGGAGGCACCAAUGGACUUUGCAACUGGAGAUCUCCCAACUGGACCAUGUCACUGUUAUGUUUAAUUUGCACUGUGCACAGUAGGUACCCAGUCAACGUUUGUCGAAUUCCAUGGACUGGGCCUUAUACCUCCGAGGAUUUUUCACAGCAGUAGCAUGUGCACAUGCACAGAACGAGAACACAACCAAUGCUUGUUUGCUGGUGAAGACCUGGUCUCAGUAUUUUGCCCAGGAAACCCUUUCUUCAUGGACAGCAUGAGGCAAGCUAUGGCCCUUGCUGUGGUCUCAGUGGUUCAGCACGGAAGAUGAAGAUGACGGGCAGUCUCAGAAUAUUAGCUUUAGAAGGGACUUUGGAUCCUUUUGAUUUUGGUAGGUGAAAUACUUUUUAAAAAUAAAGAAAACGGACUUUGGACAAAUGCUCUCAUUUUGUAAAUGAAAAAGUAGAGACAGGAAGAGUAACUGAUUUGUCCAAAAUCAAACAAAGUAAAUUGUGUUGCAUCCUCUCCAUCCGUAACCACCUUCGCCUUCCCUAACUGCUCCAUGUGGCCUGGGAAAGUCCACUUCACCUCGUCUUAGAGGUGGGCUUCUGAUUCUAGCUAAGCCAACCCCCA